rnacentral:lncRNA from 1 species
CCGCAAUCUGAAUGUACUUCACUAGCAAAAGCAAUAGUCUUUCUGGACCCUUCUCCCCAGUUCUGGUGCCUGCCUCUGCAAAGAGAAGUUAGAGUAAUUCCAGAUUUCCUGCCUGGCGCCUCCAGAAUGGCUCUGGUGAAGUGGAGUCCUGAUAAAGUGGCUGAUGAAGGAGGUCAAAGCAGCUCUCCCAGAGGCCACUGCUUGAGAAAAAUGAGAGAAGGAAGAGCUCUUGGGUUUAACCACUUAGAUGAACAUCACUUGCACUGGACAACAGCCAGAGUGGUAUUGAAACCUAAUGGGCAUUGACGGAGGGACAUUCCAGUGUAAACUACAGCUUAUCAGAGAUUACUGGAAAAUGUCGGAAAAUGAGGGAUACCCAUUUCCAGUUACAUUUCAGAUUUUCCUUGGAAAGGUGGAAGAAGAAUGAGAGAUGUCUACAAUGAUCCUGAUGACCCUAGCAAGAGCUAAAAACUAUAUUAGUAGGAAAAUACUCAUUUGUGUAAAAACCUACUCAAUCAGAAAAUUCAGUGAAAAAUGUAAUCCCCCCCCCCCCCCGCCUCCUCCCCGUGAGAAGAUACAGCAGUGAGCCAUACAAACAAUGUCUUUUGGUUUGGAGCAUUUUCAAGAUAUCAGAGUAGAGGGGAGUGGGAAGUACAUCUUGGUGUUUGUCUCUUGAUCUGGGAAUCAAGCUGCUUCUGAUCUCCACAGUUGGGAGCGAGCUCUGUAUCUUGUUUACCAUCUCAGUCCUCUGUGUUUGCCUGAGCGUGACAGUUAUCACACACUGAGUUAUAAUUACUGGUCACCAAUCGUGCUCUCCCAUUAAAUGAUAAUAUCCUUGUGGGUUCUUUCAUCACCAUUGUAUCUCCAGGAAUUAUCACGAUGCUUACUCUAUAGGAGAUCCAUGGUAAAUAUCUGUUGGACAGACAUCCUCUCACCCACAAGAUAAUGUGUUCUCUAUGAAAGGAACUGCUCAUAUUCAUUUUUUUCUUACUCAGGGUGCCUGUAAUAGAUAAUCUUCCAAGAUAGUCACCAUCAAUUCCUCCUUCCCUCUAUGCACAUGUCUCUGUUCCUAUCAAGAGAUGCACUUUAUUUCCUUCUUCCUGGAAUCUGGACUGGCCUGGUGACUUACCCUAUUUGUUGAUUUAUUUAGGUUAAACUUUUUCUUUUAAAUAAUAUUAGAUUUACAAAAACUGCCAAAUAUAGUACGUUGAGUUCCUACAUACUGUUCACUGUUAACUUUCUGCUAAAGCUAACAUUUUAUAUAACCAGUGUACAAUGUCUAAGGCAGAAAAUUAGCAUUGGUGUGAACUAUUAAUUAAUCUACAAAUGUUCAUAUUUUACCAGCUGUCUCACUUGGGCAGGCAGAAAUUCUAAAAGAGUCCCUAAGAUUUGUAGUCCCUGUUACACACACUCUCUCCCAGUUAUUCAUUCAAGCACUAAGUGCCCCUACGGAAAGGCUUUGCAGCUGUAAGGAAGGUCCAAAAUCAGUUAACCUUAAGAUAGAAAAAUUAUCAGUGGGCCUGACCUAAUCCCUAAGUCCUUUGAAUCUAGGUCUAAGAGGUCAAAGAUGUUAGGCCAAAGAUUUGAAACACAAAAAGAAUUGACAUGAGAGAACUUUCCAAAAGGGUGUACUUUCCAAAAGUGGAUCACUUUGACCAAUGAAAUGAGGUAAAGGUGAUACUGUGCCAAUUCUAGACCAAGCCUUGAAGGUGUUUAGCAUCUUCUUCUUUUGCUCUUGGAAAUCAACCCCCAUGAACGAAGUCUUACCACCAUUUCCCAAGGAAGCCCAGGGCCAUUAUCUUCAGAAAGAGAGGAGCCACUUGGAAGGGCACAAAGGUACCACACAUGGUGGUGAAACUUCCGUGGACCUCCCACUCACCUCUGCAACCACAUGAAUACAACUAAGAGACCCCAGCCAGUGCCACAUGGAGCAGAACUGACCAGCCGAAACUUAUCCCAAUUUCUGACCCACAUAAAUUGAUGUUGUUUCAAUCUACUGUUUUCAGGGGGUUUGUUGUAUAGCAAUAUAUAAGCAAAUGUCUAAUUCAGAGAAGGAUCUCAAUAAAUAUUUCAUAUUAUCAAAUAGUUUUCA